rnacentral:tRNA from 1 species
CAUUAAGUGGCUGAAAGAUAAGUAAUGGUCUCUUAAACCAAUUUAUAGUAAAUUAACGAAUACUCUUAAUGA